rnacentral:rRNA from 1 species
GAUGAACGCUGGCGGCGUGCCUAAUACAUGCAAGUCGAACGCAUUGUGGUUGAAAUGAUAUGAAGAACUUGUUCAGAUUUGAUUUUCAACAUUGCAAUGAGUGGCGAACGGGUGAGUAACACGUGGGAAACCUACCUCUUAGCAGGGGAUAACAUUUGGAAACAAAUGCUAAUACCGUAUAAUAAUUAAAACCGCAUGGCUUUAGUUUAAAAGAUGGUCUUGCUAUCACUAAGAGAUGGUCCCGCGGUGUAUUAGUUAGUUGGUGAGGUAAUGGCUCACCAAGACAAUGAUACAUAGCCGAGUUGAGAGACUGACCGGCCACAAUGGGACUGAGACACGGCCCAUACUCCUACGGGAGGCAGCAGUAGGGAAUCUUCCACAAUGGACGAAAGUCUGAUGGAGCAACGCCGCGUGUGUGAUGAAGGGUUUCGGCUCGUAAAACACUGUUGUAAGAGAAGAAUGACAUUGAGAGUAACUGUUCAAUGUGUGACGGUAUCUUACCAGAAAGGAACGGCUAAAUACGUGCCAGCAGCCGCGGUAAUACGUAUGUUCCAAGCGUUAUCCGGAUUUAUUGGGCGUAAAGCGAGCGCAGACGGUUAUUUAAGUCUGAAGUGAAAGCCCUCGGCUCAACCGAGGAAUUGCUUUGGAAACUGGAUAACUUGAGUGCAGUAGAGGAAAGUGGAACUCCAUGUGUAGCGGUGAAAUGCGUAGAUAUAUGGAAGAACACCAGUGGCGAAGGCGGCUUUCUGGACUGU